rnacentral:rRNA from 1 species
CCUACGGGGGGCAGCAGUGGGGAAUAUUGGUCAAUGGGGGAAACCCUUAUGCAGCAACGCCGCGUGAGGGAUGAAGGUUUUCGGAUUGUAAACUCCUUUUAUUAGGGACGAUAAUGACGGUAUCUCCAGAAUAAGCCACGGCUAACUACGUGCCAGCAGCCGCGGUAAUACGGAGGUUGCAAGCGUUAUGCGGAAUUACUGGGUGUAAAGGGUGCGCAGGCGGGCUGGCAAGUCAGAAGUGAAAUUCUUGAGCUUAACUACAGAACUGCAUUUGAAACUAUUAGUCUUGAGUGUGGGAGAGGCAGGCGGAAUUCGUGGUGUAGCGGUGAAAUGCGUAGAUAUCAAGAGGAAUACUCAUUGCGAAGGCGGCUUGCUGGAACAUUACUGACGCUGAUGCACGAAAGCGUGGGGAGCAAACAGGAUUAGAUACCCUAGUAGUC